UUAUACAGUGAAACUGCGAAUGGCUCAUUAAAUCAGUUAUCGUUUAUUUGAUAGUUCCUUUACUACAUGGUAUAACUGUGGUAAUUCUAGAGCUAAUACAUGCUUAAAAUCUCGACCCUUUGGAAGAGAUGUAUUUAUUAGAUAAAAAAUCAAUGUCUUCGGACUCUUUGAUGAUUCAUAAUAACUUUUCGAAUCGCAUGGCCUUGUGCUGGCGAUGGUUCAUUCAAAUUUCUGCCCUAUCAACUUUCGAUGGUAGGAUAGUGGCCUACCAUGGUUUCAACGGGUAACGGGGAAUAAGGGUUCGAUUCCGGAGAGGGAGCCUGAGAAACGGCUACCACAUCCAAGGAAGGCAGCAGGCGCGCAAAUUACCCAAUCCUAAUUCAGGGAGGUAGUGACAAUAAAUAACGAUACAGGGCCCAUUCGGGUCUUGUAAUUGGAAUGAGUACAAUGUAAAUACCUUAACGAGGAACAAUUGGAGGGCAAGUCUGGUGCCAGCAGCCGCGGUAAUUCCAGCUCCAAUAGCGUAUAUUAAAGUUGUUGCAGUUAAAAAGCUCGUAGUUGAACUUUGGGCCCGGUUGGCCGGUCCGAUUUUUUCGUGUACUGGAUUUCCAACGGGGCCUUUCCUUCUGGCUAACCUUGAGUCCUUGUGGCUCUUGGCGAACCAGGACUUUUACUUUGAAAAAAUUAGAGUGUUCAAAGCAGGCGUAUUGCUCGAAUAUAUUAGCAUGGAAUAAUAGAAUAGGACGUUUGGUUCUAUUUUGUUGGUUUCUAGGACCAUCGUAAUGAUUAAUAGGGACGGUCGGGGGCAUCAGUAUUCAAUUGUCAGAGGUGAAAUUUCUUGGAUUUAUUGAAGACUAAACUACU
rnacentral:rRNA from 1 species